AAUGCAAAUACCUCAGCAGAGAUUCCUUCCCCAGGGCUCAGAGCAGAGCAGCCUCAGACAGGAGAGCACCAGAAUGAGGCUGUUUGUCUUGCUGGCUGUGCUUCACAGUGGAGUCAGCAGCAGCAUUGUGCUGCAGAAAAUGUAUGGGAGGAUCACAUCUCCCAACUUCCCAAAUGUCUACCCAGAUCACAAGGAGAGAAUCUGGAAUAUUACUGUGCCCAAGGGAUAUUCUGUCCGCAUCUACUUCACCCAUUUCAACCUGGAGCUGUCCUACCUCUGUGAAUAUGAUUAUGUGAAGCUGAGCUCUGGUGGGAGGACCUUGGCUACACUGUGUGGAAAGGACAGCACAGACACUGAGGAGGCUCCAGGCAACAGGACCUUCAGCUCUGCCAACAACAACCUCGUGGUAGUGUUUCGGUCUGACUACUCCAAUGAGAAACCUUUCACAGGCUUUGAGGCUUUUUAUGCUGCUGAAGAUGUUGAUGAGUGCAAACAGCUGUUCGGUGGUGAACCCCUCUGCAACCAUCACUGUCACAACUACGUGGGGGGGUACUACUGCAGCUGUCGGGUUGGCUACACCCUGCAGGAGAACAAGAGGAUGUGCACAGGGUAGCAGCACGAGGGGAUCCCAGCUCUGUGCAGAGAUGUGGUGCUGGUUUGUGCUACCUGAGCACAACAGAGCAACCACUGCCCUGAGGAGCCUCUCAGCCACCACCUGGCCAGCUCAGAGCAAACCUGGAACAUGCAUUGCUGGGAUGGAUCUGGGCUAAGGAUCUCUCAAGCCCAAUCUCCUGCCUCUGAGCCUGUCCAGCAUCUUCUGCUUCAGUGGAAGACACAGUUCAGGAACCAUUUUCCCAACUUCUCAGGAGUUAUGAAGUGGAUGUUUAGGCAGCAGAGCCACUGGGCUGGUCCUGUGCAGGUCACCUCGGACCUGGGAGCAUCCUGGGAUGUCACAGUUUUCCCUUCUGUUCUGCGUCCAUGUUUGCCACGUCCCAGUCCUGAAGCUCCACCCCAUGGCCACCGCGCACCAGUGCAAGCGCCUGCAUUCUGGGGACCUCAGCCUUGUCCCUUGUGACAUUGGGGUGUGCCACUGGAAGGAGCCGAACCGUGACUCUGCCGACCCUCUUGGGUUGAAUUUCUCCGGGAUUAAACACACAGUGGAACUUCCACCCUGAAGAGGCACACUGAGCUCGCCAGUGAUCUCUGCUCCAAGAGCUACUGCAAAGCACACCACAAGCUCAAUGUUCUCCUCGCAAACCCCAUCAUCAUCUUCAAUUCACAGUACCACACUUACAGGUCAUUAACAGAAAAAAAAAAACAAACAAACCACACACCAUACAGCAUUCACAGCAGUUGACAUAAGGGAAAAAAAAUACAAAUAUUCCAUUUCACAUAACACAUUCAACUAAUCCAUUAACUAGGUAUAAAACCCACUUAAAGUCUUCCACAUAUGGGUGUCCUUUGAAUGCAAGAAACACUCGUACUUUAUUUGCUAUCAUUGCUCUCUGCACACUCUCUCACCAAAGCCACAGGAUCGAGAGACAUCUCGCCAAGGAAAAUAAAACCCCAGAAUGCACCACCAGGUCUCUGCAUGCGCUCUCUCCUCUUUUAUCUCGCACAUACCAAGCCCUCUCAUGCCUCGGCACCACCAUCAAUCCCACACAAGGUUUCAUAAAGUUCAAACAGCCUUCUGGUUCCAUCUCACAGCCUUGCGUUCACAGCGUUGAAACGACUCCAUGAAAUAAAGAGUAGCGGAUAAAAAUGGAACACCCACCGUCUAAGACGCAGCAUGUGCGGUGUGAUGAAGUAUUCUUGGAUGAGAAAGCAUGUAGACAGAAGUAUUCCUAAGGCAGAAUAUUUACAGCACUGCUUUCAAUGAAGUGCUUCUUCCAUACACAUUUGAAAUGAGAUGAACUGCGGAGAUUAAAUGAAGCCUUCAUAUUGUACUUUAGUAUGGAGGGGAGACAGUGUUAAAAAAAAACAACAGAACAGAAAAAAAAAAACAGAACAGAA